rnacentral:lncRNA from 10 species
GGAGAGGGAGGUUGAGGUCGUAACACUUCAUUUUCAUUCUGCAUCUUACAAAGACUCCGACCUCUGAGCUAAACUGACUUGGGCCAGCUCCCACCUAGUGAACCUCAGCUCCUCCUCCUCAAGUGAGGCUGUCACCUUGCAGGAGUACAGACAUGGGGAGCUGUUGAUACUUCUCCAGAAGGGGCGUGACUGACAGAGGGUUCAACCCAGGUCCAGUGGCUCUGAGGUCCUGUGCUUCAUAAAGUGUAUGUUUUGCAAAAACACUGAGGUUCUCCCAGUUGUGCAGAGAUGCAGCCCGAGGAUGACAGUCAAGGGUGACUCCAGCCAACAAACUCACGGGCUCCCUGUCUGUCCCCAGCCCGGGAGCCAAGACACAGAAAAGCGUUCCUGCCUUAGAGCCAAGCACCUGGCCUGGAGGUGUUUGUAAGGGGAUCCCCUCCCCCGACCCCCCAGCAAUGGGGAAAGUCCCCGAGACCUUGACCACUCUGCGCAGUUAAUCCAGAGGCUUCCAGGACGGGGCACUGGCUGACUUCACUUUCACCUGUGGGUGCUGGACCCAGUGCACCCCCAGAGGCCAGGCAGCUUUCACUUUGGGGAAUGUGGACUCUGUGGGUCCAGAAGGGCCUGUGUGGAAAAAGAAGCCAACAGUCCCUGGUUUUGUGUAAAGUCUCCUGAUGUUUAAAGGCUGGCAACGAACUCAACUGAAAACAAAUGCAAAAAUACCACAGGCCAAACCACGGGUACAGGCUGGAUGCACCCAUGGGCCACCCAGUUGCUCUCUGUUUGGCUGUGACCAACUCGGCCCAGGUCCCAUUUCUGGCACUCAUUCCUGUUUCUUCACUUAAACAAAAUGGCAUGAAUGCUGCCUUCUCAGGGGGCAUGCUGUGAGGAUGCUGUAACUUUGGAGAGUGUCUGGCCCUUUCUGGGGUGCCCCUGCUUCCUCCCUUCCUCUUUUCCCCUCCGUCUUCCCUUUCCUCCCUUCUCCCCUUCUCCCCUCUUCUCCCUACUCCCUUCUCUCCUUCCCUCACUUCUUCCUCUCCUCCUGUCUCCUUUCUCCCUCCUUCACUCCUCUUCUCCUUUCCUUCCUCCCUCCUCUUCUUUCCUUCUCCCCUCUCUUCUCCCCCAUCUCUCCUUUCCCCCCUGCUUCCCUCUCCUCUCUCUCCUGUCUUCCCUCCCUCUUCCCCUCCCUCCUUCCCUGUCCUGGCCCUGAACCUUUCCCUGGGCUCCCACGCUCUGCUCAGUCUCACCUAGGCCCAGCCCAUGUCUUCUCAGACAACCCAGCACCACCCCUCGACCACCUUCCACAGAGGGGGCUGCCCUUUUCAGCUCCCUUGCCAAGGGGCCGCCAGCAUUUCCAGGUCAGCUCACGAAUGGCAGUGUUCUCCAGCUCUUCUGUGUCAAAAACAAACACCCUCCUCCCAGCGCUGCUCCUGGCCGGCUGCCCCGCCCUCUGCCAGGCGUUUCUCAGAGGACAAGACCUAAUGAGCUGGCUGCUGCCAGCCUGGUCCUCACAGUUCAUCAGUAGGAUUCCAGACAGGCAUCAGGCUCAGGGACAGCGCAGAGACAGCUGCCUUCUCCUCUUUCCCGGAGGCACCUGAGACCUGAGCGCACCGAGGGGGCCGGUGCAUGGGCUGCUCCCAGUGAGCGUGAAGUUCACGCCCAGAAGUACACCCGCCACCAGCUGCAGCAGCACAGGUUCGUCCAGCGCACCACGAGAGGCUGGGGCUCUCUGGGAGUGGAGGAGCAGGUGGGGAUGAGCCUGGACUUGCACGCAGAGCUCUGGGCUCCAUUAAGCCCCCGCCCCGUCCUAGCUGUGUCGUCUGGGCACGCCAGUUCUCCCUGAGCUGCUCUCCUCCUGGCAGAAGGGGGGUCAUAACAGCACCAACAUGCGGGAUUGCGGUGAGGUCUAAACAGUCAGGCACAGGAAGCUGCACAGAGAAGAUGCAUGGGCAACAGCGCCCAUGGAGAAUCCAUGCAGCCCCCUAAGAGGGGCAGAGAGCCUCCAAGCAAAAGUCAUUCUAUCUCAACACUCACUCCCCUGAAGACUAUUCGUUCUUGGGAAAUAGGAUACCCAAUAUUGAAUGUUUGUGGUCCCCUCGUAACUCACAUGCUGAAGCCCUAAUCCUGAAUGAGAUGGUGUCUGGAGAUGGAGCCUUUGGGGGUGAUUGGGGUUAGAUGAGGUCAAGAGGGUGGGACUACCCACCACAGGAUUACAAGGAGAAAAAGAGGAAAGGGAUCUCCCCGCCCUCUCUCUUUCUCCCCCUCUCCCAACCAGGGCAGAAGAAGAAAAGCCAUGUGAGGACACAGUAAGAAGGCGGACGUCUGUAGGCCAGGAAGAGAGUCCUCACCAGGACCCAACCAUGCUGGCACCCUGGUCCUGGACUUCUGGCCUCCAGAACUGUGAGAAAUAAAUUUCAGUUGUUGAAGCCAUCUGUGGUAUUUUGUUAUGGCAGCUGGAGCAGACUCAGACAAUCUUUAAAUACACAUACUUUCAGCAGUAGCUGGCAUGUCUGACCUGGCAAGAUGAACUGAUUGCACACUUAGGUAAACUGACUACUCAUCCCAGCAAAGCCCCUAACCCUGUAACCACCCACUGAACUGACCAGACUGGUGGCUUAGCCCAGCCUUGGACAGGCAGAACUUCAGCCUUGGACACAGUCCCUGUCAUCCUAAAGGAGCCUCCUUAAGGAGCACUUGUAGGACCAGAGAGAGUCAGAGUUAAUAGCAAUGAUAGUAACUUCAAUACUUUAUGUGGAGCAGCUGUGUACAAUGAGCUAGGGCUGGGACCAAGCAUUUUAUAUUCAUCAUCUUGUUUAAUCUGUGUUGUUACCUUGUGAAGAAGGUAGGAUUAUCUCGAUUUCACAGAAGAGGAAACUAGAGAUGAGAUUCCCUGUCCAAGUUUACACUGCAAGUACCAGAUGGACCAAGCUUCCAACCCUCCUCUCUCUGACUUUAAACCUUAUGCAUUCCAUUAAAAUUAAAGGAAAAAGAGUCAUUGAUCA